UGAUGACAAACCUGACUACUCCUACCUG
rnacentral:piRNA from 1 species